UCCUGCCCUACAUCUGAUCUCAGCUUUAUGAUUUCUCCCGUCUAGGAGGGAGGGGGUGUUUUCUUGGAGUCACAGACAAGACCACCAGAGAGCGCCUUCAGCUGGGUGGGGCGACAGCACGGGGAGGCAUGGAAGUACGGUGCCACCACUUUGUCCACAUCAUCCACGAUCGCAGAGACAAGGUCCAUGAUCGGAGAGACAUUGUUGAGGAUGAGGGAGACAUCGUCCACGAUCAGAGACAUUGUCCAUGAUCGCAGAGACCUUGUCAAAGAUGAGAGAGAUGUUGUCCAUGAUCAGAGACAUUGUCCAUGCUUCGUAGAGACCUUGCGAUAGAAUCGGCGGAGACGGGGGUCACCGAUUUGACGGCAUUGCCCGCGAUCAGGGACAUUGUUGAUGGUCACAGAGACAGCGUCUAUGAUCUCAGAGACAUCGUCCACGAUCGCAGAGACAUAGUCCAUGAUUGCAGAGACAUUGUCCAUAAUCUCAGAGACAUUGUCCGCGAUCACAGAGACGUAGUCCACGAUCACAGAGAUGUAGUGCAAGAUCACAGAGAGUCUUCGUACAAAGAAGAAGUUCUUUCAGACCAAGACAGAGGCCUCCAGGUGCCACUACUUUGUCCACAAUCGCAGAGACAUGGUCCAUGAUCGGAGAGACAUUGUUGAGGAUGAGGGAGACAUCGUCCACAAUCAGAGACAUUGUCCAUGAUCACAGAGACCUUGUCAAAGAUGAGAGAGACGUUGUCCAUGAUCUGAGACAUUGUCCAUGCUUCGUAGAGACCUUGCGAUAGAAUCGGCGGAGACGGGGGUCACCGAUUUGACGGCAUUGCCCGCGAUCAGGGACAUUGUUGAUGGUCACAGAGACAGCGUCUAUGAUCUCAGAGACAUCGUCCACGAUCGCAGAGACAUCGUCCACGAUUGCAGAGACAUUGUCCAUAAUCUCAGAGACAUUGUCCGCGAUCACAGAGACGUAGUCCACGAUCACAGAGAUGUAGUGCAAGAUCACAGAGAGUCUUCGUACAAAGAAGAAGUUCUUUCAGACCAAGACAGAGGCCU